ensembl:lncRNA
GUUUUUUUUAAAUAGUUGACUGUUAGGUCGUGUAAAACCACCCUAACAUGCACGUUGCAUGUUUUUUUUAAAUAGUUCUUUUACUUUAGUUCAAUUUAUGCUUUUUUCCCAGUGGUUUGAUUUCUUUUCACACAGAAAAAAAGCCAAGGGAAUUCCAAGUGAACCAAAAUGCGCAAUUUCAAACCUUGUGAAGAUGUUCAGCCUGUUUUGGCCACACGUGUCUGGUGAAGCAACAAAAGUAAAUAGAGUAAUGACGAUGCUGUGUUCUGGAGGACUGGAGAACAUGGAAAAUUUACAUUAAUUUCACAGCCAGUUACUAGACCGUAAUGACCUUUGCACAUCUAUGGUACCCUGCCGCAUCCCAGAAUGCAAAGCAAAAAAUGCUAUGGAAAGGUGGUAGUUGAGUUGCUUCACAUUCACACUACAGAUAAACCACGGAGCAGUUCAUUUGGAGCCCCCACCCCUUUCUUGCCAUACAAGUGUUUUCUUUUUACUUUAUACUUGAAUACCUCCCACUUGUCUAUAUAUGAUGUAAUUUUAGUGAUGUUCAGGGACCCCUUCAGUGUGGCUCUUGUUCGAGAAAUUAGUUACAUCCAUCAAUAGACUUGUAACACGCAGACAUCUACAGUCUAAAUUCAUUUAAAUCAUCACUGUCGUCACUAUUUCCUGCCUGCCUUCCUUUUAUUUCUAUUUUAGUUUUUAGUGUCAGUGAGCACUGGUGGUAUUUUUGCAUCCCUUUUGCUUCUUUUAUCUUUCUGACACCUAUUCUGACACAUCAUUUGUUCCCUUAACUUAAAAAAUAUUAUUGUUCUUUCCUGUUGUACUCUCCCGUUUCCUAUUGCUGCAGUGCCUCUUCACAUGGGCAAAAAAUUUACUGUUUUAUUGCUUAUCAGUGACAUAAUAUAGAAGUCAUCCAAGGGGCCUGUUAGCCAGCCAACGGCCCUCACUCCCAAAGGUUAUUCAAGGAUUUGCAAACACAUACACGGACUAUUUUUAAACUGUUUAGCACAAUGAGUUAUUCAAGUCUGACACAAGUAAUGCUUUCCCUCCUUCAGUAAGAGAUGCAGACAGAGGUUUAUGAGCUCUUCUGGUCAAUAAUGCGGUAACGAGUGAAUCAUUUCCAGUGUGAAUGCAACUUUAAAGGGUCCAUUAGAUUGCUAUCAUCCUCACGAAGAGUGGCACACACCAAAAGAGAAAAGAAACGACCAAUUUGUGUACCUUUUUUUGUUCUAUUGCGUAGACAUUCAAUGGCAUAUCAGUACAGAAGCUCAGCGAUUGCCAGAUUAUGUACAGGAAGAUGCUGUAACAGCUUGAAAAGAUGACACUUUCCAUGGAAAACAGAAACAAACCUCCAUGUUUUCUUCCGGGGUCUACUUUCUCCACUCGUGUACUGAUACACAGGUUUUGUUUCUGUGGUGAGACCUGUCAUUCAGCAGAAUACUGCAUCCCAUCUGAUGCGCUCACAGUGAAGAUAUGAAUCGUGCUGUGGUGAUGUCACAGAUAGCUCGCGACACAACCAGUGUGGCGACCACAAAACCUCCUUAAGGCCUCGAUUAUACUCUGUGGCGGACAGAGAGAGCUGGAGACCCGACAGACCCUGCUCCAACCCAGAAAGUAUCAUCCUGGCCUUAGCCUGCCUUGUGCUUGUACCAGCCCAGCACCAUCAUCCAGUGCUGCAGUGUCAAGAAGUGAAGGUCUUUAAAUGGCGACUUGACCCUGCCUUGAAAAGCAUUCACAGCAAUCACAUUGACUCCUAUGCUAAACUGCCUGACUUUAAGGCAAAAAUAUUGUACCAUUGAAGAAAAGGCCCUCCAUUUCCUGUUAAUUAUACCCUGAGUGUCUGGUUUACACAUAUGUAAUUCUUCCAUUUGUACUAGAAAUAACUGUUAUCCAGAGGGUAAAGUUAGGUGGAGAGAUAGAUCUACAAGUUAAAACAAUACAUUUCAUAGUAACUGCCUUUCUUUCAUGCUCCAUAGAGCAUCCAGAAAGUGUCAGGUUACGGUUACGUUUCACGUUUCUGGAGAAGGUUGGCACUGAAAAAUAUCCGUCGCAUGAAUACUUACAUGAGGGGACCGAGUGUCCCCUCAGCCAAGCAUCUUUGUCACAUUAAUGGAAAGAUACAGUGUUUCUUUUUUUAAUGAUUCAUUGUUUUAGGUCUCGUUUAUUUUAACACUAGUCAGUCAGGGUUGUGGCCCACUUCCCUAAUGCCCUACUAAUCUGUGUGUGAGGUGGCCUUUUUAUACACUGUAAUAUUUGAGGACUCAGCAGCAGACAAUAAGUCCUCAGCAGCAUGAUCCCUCACUGUUUUGUCAGCUCUGUGACCUGUAUUUACAGUCAGCUUAUUGUUCCACAUUUAAUUCCUAAUCCUCUUCUUGUUGUCCACAGUCCUGUGUGUGUGUGUUUUGGUGCGCCCGCCCCCUUUUCCCAUUCUUAAUCCUGUGCUUUAUUUUGCAGUUGCAUAUGCAGUCAUUAAGCCCAUUGUAACGGCUCCACGGUCAGUGCCCAUUGAAUAUAUUAGCACUCUUAGUAAAACAACAGUCAUCAUAGUACAAUGUGACUUGGUCAGAAGACUGGAAACUGUCAUGGUGAGCCUUGUGAUUGCAAAAAAGAGAAGAAUACAGACUUUUUUUUAUUAUAAUGUUACUGAUUCAGUGCACAAACAAAGGAAACAACAGAGAGUCCACUAGGAACCCUAUAAUACACCUCCUUCACAUUUAUCUGAUAAUAUUGACAAUUAAUACUGACUUUCACUAAACCACAGAAUCACAUUAAAUUACCAAUUAAAUACUGUUGGUCACAUUAUUCCCCGUGCUGACAUAUAGCAUAUGUAGGAAGGUGUUACAAUACACACUGAGGUUAGGCUCAUGUUCCUUUGUGCCUUCAUUAUUUUAAGUACUGCUUUAACUACCAAAUAUUGUGCCAUGCAGAACUUAAAAUGCAGUUUGGUUUCAUUCCGGAUGAGAUUGAGGUUUCAGAAAGGUGCGUGUCUAGAGAUAAUUUUCCAGCGUUGAAGCUUUGGUGCUGAAGAUGCUCUGAGGAAAACACCAAAAGAAUGUACGGCACGUACCGUACGCCAGUCUCGUUUGAGCAGGAAGCGUCUGUAUUGAAGGGGGAUGCUUUCAUAGAGAUAAGGAGGACAGAAAAACUGGUGAGAGGAAGUUGUUGGUUCACAGGUGCAGUGCGGGGGUUUCCACAUCCUUCUACCCUUCAGCUCCGGAAGCAAGCGCUGAGAAGAGGCUUACCACAGACAGGAGAUUGUUUACAUCAGUCAUUAUUUCCUAGCAUACCACAACAAAAUGCAGGCAAGGAGAAAAAGAGACACUUAAUUGCACAAGAAGUAGAGGAAUGGCAGCGAAUUACGGGAAGUUGGUCUGCAUGUUACAUCACUGACAUAAGGCUUCACAGCUGCCUGCUUACAGCCUUGCAUUUGUUUGCAUUUAUGUCCAUAAGCUAGAAGCUAACCUCCAGACAGCUCGUUUGUAGAGUAUAUGAGGAAACUACCCCCUGUGCAAUAUGAUGGUAAUCAAGCAUUUAUAUUAAUAUUUUUGUUUUUUGGAAACAAAAUUUGACUAUAAUGAUUGUAGCAUAGACAUGUACAUAUAUAUCUGUAUGUACCCUGUAUGUCUGCUCCUACAUCAUCAUGCAUAUAACAAUUAAAAGUCUAUGUAACAUUAGCAUCAACGGUGUCAAAGAGGAUUUGGGCCUGCUUGAGAAAUAAUCAGUGCUUUACUGAAUGUUGUUUUGAAAAUGGAUCUAAAUCUAAAUUUAAUUGUACAGUUCAACAGUACGAUGACACAGUCUACAAUCAUUUGACUUUUAAGCGGUUUUCCUACGGGGCAUAUACGCUUUUUUGUGUGCUCACAAGUGCAUGUGCAAAUGUGUACACACAAACGUUCAUGCAACAGAUAAGGAUCUACACCAACAUACAAGCUGUACAAGCAGCAAAGAUACCUGUAGGCCUCAACCGUGCAUAUGUUACAUAAAGUAAAAAAAUAAUAAUAACAAGCCAGCUCCAGUAAGGACGGGCUGGUGAAUUACAGGUAAUAUGGUGGUGGUGAAAAGUUAUUGUGUUUAGAGAACAAAGCUACAUAUUUUGGAAGAUCAUUGUGGUUACUUUUUAGUGCACAUCAAAAUUACACACCGACAUACAGUGACUGUGAAGCUGUUCAGUGAUAAGCUAAAAUUUUUGAGAAUACUUCUUUACUGUCUUGGUGUGAGGUUCAUGAGAAGCUCAUUUAUCCGUACCAACUGACUACUAACUGAAGUUAUUUCCUUGUUAGCUUAGCUUAGCAUAAAGACUUCAAAAAUAAAUAUAACAAACUUUGUUUGUUAAUUAACAUAAUAAUAUUUUUAGGUUAGCUAACUCAUUAGAAUCUGUUAAUUAAAGCACAACCUAAAUGAUUUCACUAAAUGAUUUGAUUUUGAAACCAGCUUGCUUAUUUGCUAAGGACUAGCCUAUGACCAUAGCUGUCAUGAUCCUGGGUCCUUUUGACCCAGCGUUUUGUGUUUUCUCUUCGCGAUUUUGGUUCUGUUCUUCCUCUGGUUAGUGUUUACUCUGUUCUGCCCGUGUGUUCCUGUAUCUAGUCCGCGUUUCUUAGGUUGUGUCCUUUCAUGUGCAAGUUCCUGUUUUAUUGUGAAGGUCUGCGUCUUAUGUGAGUGUUUUCAGUUUGCCUCCCUAGUCUCGUCAUGGUUAUCACUCCCAGCUGUGUCUCCCACCUGUGUGUAAUCUCCCUAUGUUCUCUGAGUGUAUUUAAGUUGUAUUUUCUGUCUUAGUAAUUGCUGGUUCGUCUGUGUUGUUUCCCCUCGGUCUCCCUGCGUCUCUCCGUAUAUAUUUCCCCGGACCUCUGCAUCUUCGUUUCUGGUUUGUUUUGUUAGUUUUAUCCAGUUUAGGUUUUCCUGUUUCACCUUCACCCACGCCAUUGCUGUUUGUAUUUUCUUUUGUUAAAUAAACACUCACCUGCUCCAGAGCUGCUGCCCUUUGGGUCCUUUUCUACAUUCCACACGGCUUGCCCCGGCAAUCCGUGACAAUAGCACAGAUAAUUGUCCUUUUUGAAAUAUAGUGUGACCAAUUGUUACAAAAUAGACUUAAUGUUUUAUUUGCUUUAAACCAAAAUGAGCUACUUAGCCCAUACAUUUAGCAGGAAAGUGGUCGAGACUGAAAACCAUUUUAGACUAAUAGUUAAUGCAAAAACUUCUUGGAUGCGUUUUACGACACAGGAAGUUAAAAAAAAAUCCUUUUAAAAUGUCCAGUAGCACAGAGAGUAAAAGGGUCCAGUUUACUGGCAAGUGGAUGAGGCCGAGCCUACUCGGUGAGAUCCACCUGUCAGACCUGCCACGCCUCUAAUGCAAUUAUUCCAGGUGAAUGUGAAAAAAAAAAUCACCUCAUUCAGAGUGCUUAUGGAGGGGGGGGCGGCUAUUCACAGAAACCCAAACUGAUUUUCUACCAAGUUUUAAACACUUGUUUUAAUGCUGUAAAGUUCAGCAGUUUAUCAUUGGAGCCUACAAAGACUUAAGUGACACAAAGUUGUAAAAACUGCAGUUUUUACAACUUUGUUUAUGACUGUAAUUCCCUUAGUAUUCAGCCCUGCUAUAUUUAGCAUCUAAAAUUCUUCAUUUGCCUGCUUUUCACCUUAACUUGCAUGUUUUUGUUCUGCAAACCAUAAAAUCUGUUCUUAGCAGGACAUUAAUAUUGAAUGGUGACACACCUUCAAAGCCAAUGGUGGAGUUAAAAUCAAAUCAGGACAUUAGUGCUGUAAAAAAAAAAAAAAAGGGAAAGAAAAGAAAAGAAAAGAAAAAACUUUGUGAGUGAAAAAUAUGUGAGGAGUUUCCAUGGGAGUUUCCACUUGUGGAGGCCACAGGUGGGGUUGUCACAGAGAGUGGGGGAGUCAGUCAUAUACUAUUUUCAUAUAUGUGCUAUGUUGAAAGAGCGAGUCUG